GGCGGCGCCUGCGCAGUGGGGCUACAUCCGGGCACUGGGGCAGGAUGAAUGCUCCUUUCCAAGAUGGCGGCGGAGGGAGGAGGGAAGGAGAUGAACGAGAUUAAGACCCAGUUCACCACCCGGGAGGGGGUGUACAAGUUGCUGAGCCACUCGGAGUACAGCCGGCCCAACCGCGUGCCCUUCAACUCGCAGGGCUCCAACCCGGUCCGCGUCUCCUUCGUCAACGUCAACGACCAGAGCGGCAACGGCGACCGGCUCUGCUUCAAUGUGGGCCGGGAGCUCUACUUCUACAUCUACAAGGGGGUCCGCAAGGCUGCUGACUUGAGUAAACCAAUAGACAAAAGGAUAUACAAAGGAACACAACCUACGUGUCAUGACUUCAAUCACUUAACAGCCACAGCAGAAAGUGUCUCUCUCCUAGUGGGCUUCUCUGCUGGCCAGGUCCAACUUAUAGACCCUAUUAAAAAAGAAACUAGCAAAUUAUUUAAUGAGGAAAGACUAAUAGACAAAUCCCGAGUAACCUGUGUAAAAUGGGUACCAGGUUCGGAAAGCCUUUUCCUAGUAGCUCAUUCCAGUGGCAGUAUGUACUUGUAUAACGUGGAACACACUUGUGGCACCACAGCCCCACACUACCAGCUACUCAAACAAGGAGAAAACUUUGCAGUCCACACUUGCAAGAGUAAAUCCACAAGAAACCCUCUGCUUAAAUGGACAGUAGGUGAGGGGGCCCUGAAUGAAUUUGCCUUUUCCCCAGAUGGGAAAUUCUUGGCAUGUGUGAGCCAGGAUGGCUUUCUUCGUGUGUUUAACUUUGAUUCAGUGGAGUUACAUGGUACAAUGAAAAGCUACUUUGGAGGACUACUAUGUGUAUGUUGGAGCCCUGAUGGGAAAUAUAUUGUAACAGGUGGAGAGGAUGACUUAGUAACAGUUUGGUCUUUUGUGGACUGUCGAGUAAUAGCUAGAGGCCAUGGACAUAAAUCAUGGGUCAGUGUUGUGGCUUUUGACCCAUAUACCACUAGCGUAGAAGAGAGUGACCCGAUGGAAUUUAGUGGAAGUGAUGAGGAUUUCCAAGACCUCCUUCAUUUUGGCAGAGAUCGAGCAAAUAGUACGCAAUCUAGGUUGUCAAAAAGGAACUCUACAGACAGUCGUCCAGUAAGUGUUACGUACAGGUUUGGCUCAGUAGGUCAGGACACGCAGAUCUGUUUGUGGGACCUUACAGAAGAUAUUCUCUUUCCCCACCAACCUCUCUCGAGAGCAAGGACACACACAAAUGUUAUGAAUGCCACAAGUCCACCUGCAGGAAGUGGUGGAACUAAUCCAGGAAGUAAUGGCAACAGUAUCACAACACCUGGAAACUCUGUACCUCCUCCUCUUCCUCGGUCAAACAGCCUUCCGCAUUCUGCAGUCUCAAAUGCUGGCAGUAAAAGCAGUGUCAUGGAUGGUGCCAUUGCUUCUGGUGUUAGUAAAUUUGCGACCCUAUCACUACACGAUCGGAAGGAAAGACACCAUGAAAAAGAUCACAAGAGAAAUCAUAGCAUGGGACAUAUAUCUAGCAAGAGCAGUGACAAACUGAACCUAGUUACUAAAACCAAAACGGACCCAGCUAAAACUUUGGGAACACCUCUCUGUCCCAGAAUGGAAGAUGUUCCCUUGUUAGAGCCUCUUAUCUGUAAAAAGAUAGCACAUGAAAGACUGACUGUGUUAAUUUUUCUUGAAGACUGUAUAGUCACUGCUUGUCAGGAGGGAUUUAUUUGCACAUGGGCAAGGCCUGGUAAAGGGAGAUAGAGUAUGCAGUACCAAAAAUCAGGAUUUAUGUAUUUGGCCAAUAUGGAAAACUUUAAUUACAGGGUUUAUUGUCAUCCCAAAACCAGGCCAAUUCUCCAAGUGGAACUGUAGUAUAGCCAUCACACUACUGCUAGCAAAUCUUUGAACACAGGACAAGAAGUAAUGACAGUGGAACCAGCAGCUGUUCUUCAGGCAGAAAGCAUCACAAAAUUAUAAAAUGGCAGAGUGUAAACUCGGAAUUAUGUGAAUCACAUAGUACUUUGCAAAGGAAUAAUGUAAUGAGACCUUAUUACAGCUAAUAUGUCUAGGCUGCUCACCCAAAGAAGAGUUUUCCUUUUAAAAAAUGCUUCUUUUGGUGUUGCAGUAAAAAAUAGUAACUUUUCAGUUCUCUUUAUACUUUUCAAGUUUGGUGUAAUUUAAUAUCUCUUUCUCACUCAUAUAUACAUAUAUAUAUAUAUAUAUAUAUAUAUGAGUGAGAGAGAAUGUAAAAUAAAGUGUUUCUUAAAUCCAAAUAAGUUCAAUGGUUAAAUUAGUACUUCACCAUUGUUUAUUUUGCACUGAUUUUUUUUUUUUUAACCAGAGAUGGUUAGAAGACAGCCUGGAAUGCACUCAUGGAAAAUGAAAGUCAUUACUUUCUGGCUUAAAAAUGUAAUUCAGGAAGAUGGAUGCUGCAAUCAUAGAUUUUUUUUUUUUUUUAAACAAAAUUGUUUUGCACUUAAAUAGUCUAAUGCUAAUGGAGAAUUACUUUAAAAUGGUUGUUCAAACACCAGAAAAACUAUGUUGUGGAGAAAAGAUCCUUUGUAUCUAUUAAACAUUUAUUUUAAUAUUGUUGUUUCCAAUUGCAAUCAACUCUGUAUUAUAUGUAUAAAUGUAAUUCAGUGAUUUGGGGAAAUGGAUCAUUACACUAGUAAUUUUCAUCAUCAUUUAAGAAAGUGAUAUUUCUAAUUCAGAAAAUACAUAUUAUUAAACUAUCUUGAAUAUGCAACUUUGUUUAUUUUUUGUUUUAAAUUGGAUCUCUCUUGAUGUAAUCAGUCCUUUGUUGAAUUAAAUGUUUGGUACAGAAAUAUAUCCUAA